CUCUUGUUGUCCACCCCCCGAGAGGUGGAAGGUGAUCAUGGCUUGGGGGAGUUACGGGCGGACAAGGUGAAUGAAAAAGACAUGGCUCAGCUCGAUGAUGCCUUUCUGGAGGCCUUUGAGAACUUACACAUCGGUAGCCCUGUGGGAGUAAAUGUAUCAUGCAUCAGCUGUUUUUGCUCAUGUCUGAGACACAGAUCUCAAGAGGAAAAGGACAAAAUGGAAGAAUGAACCAGCACAGACACCCUCAUGUUAGGAGUCAUGGCGUCCAUUUUUACAGGCGGUUGUAAAAGGUUGUGUUAAACCAGGCGAUUAAUAAAACUUAUUUAAAUGUGUUAAUAUGAA